ACUAUUUAGGUCUCAUAUUGUUGAUCUUGAUUAUCUUACAUCAUUCGGACAUCUCAUGCAAGUUAUCUCGUAUUGAUAUUAUACAAAGUUUCCCUUGCUUUUGGCACGAACAUUAUCCACAAAGGAAUCAAAUUAUAAAUAACAUAAUUCAAUUUCUAUUGGAUCUAUUUUUUUGUAAAUAGUGCUGUAUUCUAUGCAUUAACAAAAUUUAUUGUUUUUAAUAUGUGCAAAAUUUUUAAUCAUAAAAAUAAAUCGCGAUAAAUUCCACGAUGUAAAA